AUUCCAUGAUGGGGACAUUCUAGGAUGUAGUCUUGAAAGCGCUCCCAUGCUUCUGGAACAGAUUCAUCAUUUUGUUGCUGAAAACUUGUAAUCUGCCCACGGAGAGC
rnacentral:snoRNA from 1 species